rnacentral:lncRNA from 1 species
GCACAACAAAAUAGUUCUACAAGUGCAAGUGCAAGUGCACAACAAAAAGGCCCAACAAGUGCACAAGCGCACAUCAACAUAGACUGGACGAGAAGCACAAAUUUUAGCUGAUAACACAUCACAUCAAUGAGAAGCACGAAUAUCGUGCACCAUCACUGGUACACGUACUUUGUCCCAUCACCCAGGCACCAAUGUUGUGUCCAUCUACUGGUUUGCCACAUGGUGAUGUUACCGCAUUAGGGCCGUCCCAGCUUCUCCCUGCCCAAAUGGCAGGAUGAUCUACUGAUCGAUGUACCGCAUUAGGGCCGUCCCAGCUUCUCCCUGCCCAAAUGGCAGGAUGAUCUACUGAUCGAUGUACUGCUCCAGCAUCACUCCCGCUACCACUGGUGGAAGAAGAUCAGCUCAUCAAUCAUCUGCACACGAACAAACGAAGAUUAACCUAUUUAGCCUACUGUAAUUUGUUUCUAAACAUGGGCACCAAAUCAACACCAACACUAAAUUAAAAUGCACAAAAGAAUGGAGCAUAGCCGUAUGUACAGCCUAACAACUUCAGGUUUGAGCCAUUUUUGAUACUACAAUAAAUACAUGACAGCCAAAAUUUUGAUCCAUGGACACCACAUGAUAGAAAAGGUACUAAGGCACUACUUUCUACUAAAAACCAAAGCAAGGUAUGAAGCACAGGCCAGGCCAACAAUAAACUACUACCAAAUCCAAAAAUAACCAUCUGAAAUGAAGUUAAUGAGACAUUUUAGAAUCAACUUGAUAGUUGACAUUAUUGUUUGUGUUGCACACAUCUAGAAUUGAAAUUAUACAUCAUGCCCAAAUUCCGAUGUCCAAUGCCUCAGUUCAGUAAACACUAAUCAUGGUACAUAGUAAAGAUUUGACACAACCGGAACUGAAAUCACUAACUCCUUCAAUUACUACACUAAUUUUAUUACACAACCAGGCAACGAAAUCCAACACGGGCACACAGACUAUAGGAGUUGGAACUUGGAAAUGCAGGUGUACAAUUAGCGCAUCACAUACCUAGUAUCUAACUAUCAAUAGUGGUCGGCAUGUAAAAGCCAACUAGCAGUAACUGAUGAUUAGUAAACAUAGACAGGAACUAAAUUCAGUAGUAAUGUGCGUGCUCUUAUCAAACCAGAGCAAGUAAAGGAGCUAAUCCCCAUGAGUGAAACAAAUUCGAUCACAACAACAAUCCAUAACGUUUAGUAACAACAAUAAGAAGGCCCUUAAACAGAGAACAGGUUGAAUCAUGCAUCGAUUAAAGUGUCUGUUCUUGGUUUCUCUUGGUUAGAAGAUAGACCGGUCAGAAACCAGAGAGACACUGAACAUGCAGAAUUAUGUAUGGAUUGUUAAAAUUUGCAUUAUCCUACUAUCACUAGUACAACAAGCUGCAGGUUGGCAUAGUUCAUGAACCAUGUACGUCAUGACAAAUACAAUAUCAUCCAAUGCUCAACUAUGAACAAAAUUGAACAAUUACACGUCACAAAGGCGGAGCAUAGAACCAAGCGGCAAGUAAGAGGGGUAGAAGGGGACGUGAGGAGCUCACCGAAGGGGGUUGUAGCCUAGGCCGAGCUUCAUCACCACGGUGGCAGCUAGGGGAGGCAGACAUGUCUACCAUCAUAGGAGCAGCACCACCGCCAGAAUUGGAAUGGCCGGAGCAAAUCGCCAUCAUAUGGGUCACCACCACCGAAUGAUCUUGCAAGGUAUAAAGUUUCGACAUUUCAGUACAAACUAGUGGCGUCAAGAACCAAGCAGUAGCAGGCAGAAGGUAAAUUCUAGUAACUGGUGAUUAGUAGACUAAAAUAGGAAAUAGAUUGCACCAGUAGCAAGCAGAAGCUAAAUUUUAGUAAAUGAUGAUUAAUUAUAACAUAGCAUCUCCAGCCCUGCUGUCCUGGUUAGUGCAACUACAAAACAGGAAAUGUUUUUUAUUUAUACAAGGAGCAGAAAUGAGGUAAGGCUUUGCUGUCCUGGUUAGUGCAACUGCAAAACUUUUUUUUGAAUGGUUGGUACUACAGAUCAUACUUCAAAAGCUCGAAGAUAUUGAGAAGCUCAGAUCAAAUAUAAAGCAAACAUAAAUACACUCCCCUUCUGCUCAAUGGCAGUGCACAAUAUACUUAUUCAUAUCUACAUGCCCACUCAUACGAAAUAAGAAUUAAAAAAUAAGGUACAUAGUUUCUGCAACUCACGUUGAAGGUUCUUGAAGAAAAGAAUAAGCCAAGAAAACAACUAUCAUCACAAAUACACCC